rnacentral:rRNA from 1 species
GGUUAAGCGACUAAGCGUACACGGUGGAUGCCCUGGCAGUCAGAGGCGAUGAAGGACGUGCUAAUCUGCGAUAAGCGUCGGUAAGGUGAUAUGAACCGUUAUAACCGGCGAU